GUCGUACGCUUCUUUUUCCACCGGAGCUUGCUCCACCGGAAAAAGAAGAGUGGCGAACGGGUGAGUAACACGUGGGUAACCUGCCCAUCAGAAGGGGAUAACACUUGGAAACAGGUGCUAAUACCGUAUAACAAUCGAAACCGCAUGGUUUUGAUUUGAAAGGCGCUUUCGGGUGUCGCUGAUGGAUGGACCCGCGGUGCAUUAGCUAGUUGGUGAGGUAACGGCUCACCARGGCCACGAUGCAUAGCCGACCUGAGAGGGUGAUCGGCCACAUUGGGACUGAGACACGGCCCAAACUCCUACGGGAGGCAGCAGUAGGGAAUCUUCGGCAAUGGACGAAAGUCUGACCGAGCAACGCCGCGUGAGUGAAGAAGGUUUUCGGAUCGUAAAACUCUGUUGUUAGAGAAGAACAAGGAUGAGAGUAACUGUUCAUCCCUUGACGGUAUCUAACCAGAAAGCCACGGCUAACUACGUGCCAGCAGCCGCGGUAAUACGUAGGUGGCAAGCGUUGUCCGGAUUUAUUGGGCGUAAAGCGAGCGCAGGCGGUUUCUUAAGUCUGAUGUGAAAGCCCCCGGCUCAACCGGGGAGGGUCAUUGGAAACUGGGAGACUUGAGUGCAGAAGAGGAGAGUGGAAUUCCAUGUGUAGCGGUGAAAUGCGUAGAUAUAUGGAGGAACACCAGUGGCGAAAGGCGGCUCUCUGGUCUGUAACUGACGCUGAGGCUCGAAAGCGUGGGGAGCAAACAGGAUUAGAUACCCUGGUAGUCCACGCCGUAAACGAUGAGUGCUAAGUGUUGGAGGGUUUCCGCCCUUCAGUGCUGCAGCUAACGCAUUAAGCACUCCGACUGGGGAGUACAACCGCAAGAUUGAAACUCAAAGGAGUUGACGGGGGCCCGCACAAGCGGUGGAGCAUGUGUUUUAAUUCGAAGCAACGCGAAGAUCCUUACCAGGUCUGGACAUCCUUUGACCACUCUAGAGAUAGAGCUUCCCCUUCGGGGGCAAAGUGACAGGUGGUGCAUGGUUGUCGUCAGCUCGUGUCGUGAGAUGUUGGCGUUAAGUCCCGCAACGAGCGCAACCCUUAUUGUUAGUUGCCAUCAUUUAGUUGGGCACUCUAGCAAGACUGCCGGUGACAAACCGGAGGAAGGUGGGGAUGACGUCAAAUCAUCAUGCCCCUUAUGACCUGGGCUACACACGUGCUACAAUGGGAAGUACAACGAGUCGCGAAGUCGCGAGGCUAAGCUAAUCUCUUAAAGCUUCUCUCAGUUCGGAUUGUAGGCUGCAACUCGCCUACAUGAAGCCGGAAUCGCUAGUAAUCGCGGAUCAGCACGCCGCGGUGAAUACGUUCCCGGGCCUUGU
rnacentral:rRNA from 1 species